GGGCGUUCGCCUCCGAAAGAGUAAGGGAGGAGUACGAAGGUGCGCUCAGCGUGGUCGGAAAUCACGCGUAGAGUAUAAAGGCAAAAGCGCGCUUAACUGCGAGACCCACAAGUCGAGCAGGUACGAAAGUAGGUCUUAGUGAUCCGGUGGUUCUGUAUGGAAGGGCCAUCGCUCAACGGAUAAAAGGUACUCCGGGGAUAACAGGCUGAUACCGCCCAAGAGUUCAUAUCGACGGCGGUGUUUGGCACCUCGAUGUCGGCUCAUC
rnacentral:ncRNA from 1 species